rnacentral:rRNA from 1 species
CCUACGGGAGGCAGCAGUGGGGAAUAUUGCACAAUGGGGGAAACCCUGAUGCAGCGACGCCGCGUGAGUGAAGAAGUAAUUCGUUAUGUAAAGCUCUAUCAGCAGGGAAGAAAAUGACGGUACCUGAGUAAGAAGCCCCGGCUAACUACGUGCCAGCAGCCGCGGUAAUACGUAGGGGGGAAGCGUUAGCCGGAUUUACUGGGUGGAAAGGGAGCGUAGACGGCAGUGCAAGUCUGGAGGGAAAGGCGGGGGCUCAACCCCCGGACUGCUCUGGAAACUGUACGGCUGGAGUGCAGGAGAGGUAAGUGGAAUUCCUAGUGUAGCGGUGAAAUGCGUAGAUAUUAGGAGGAACACCAGUGGCGAAGGCGGCUUACUGGACUGUAACUGACGUUGAGGCUCGAAAGCGUGGGGAGCAAACAGGAUUAGAUACCCUUGUAGUC